CUUAAAUUCAUAUCGAUCGCAUUUGGGUAACCAAUUUAUGCUGGUGCCGGAAUCAUGUGGGAAUUACCAUUAUCGAUCGAUUUAGUGGAGAGCAUUGAUGAUAUGAAUGUAAAGCGACCUAAAUUGUUAUCUACAUUACAUACCCUCAAGACAGUCUGGAAAAAAAUGUUUAUGUAAACCGUAUAGAACCGCUCAUCUAAAUUUAACCUUAAAAUAUAUUAAUUUCAAGUAGAUUCAACCAUAAGUUUCCGUACUUGAACACAGUCUAAAUUCAUUUACACCUCAGGAAUAGCAACUCUGUGUCAAAGUAUAAAUGCAAAUAAUUAUCCACCAGUGAAAUAUUCGUUGAGAACUGUAAAAAAUUUGCGAAUUUUCAUAAUAUGGAAAAUAUGAAAACUAAUAGAUCAAGUUUUCUUGGACGACGAAGAAUUGCAGAUUUCAAAACAACAACACAAUAUGAAAAAGAUCCUUGCGAUUGUCCGUAUGCAAAUUGUCCUGGUUGUUGGUAUGAAUGCAAGAAAUGCGGCAGCAACAAAUGUUCGCACUACUGCCGGGUUGGACGCAAAGAUAUAGUGGAGUGGAAACGUUCCGAAUAAAAAAAGCCAACAGCUCAAUUCUAAUGAAUUUAAUACUUAUUUAAAUAUAUAAAAAUAAAUUACUUACAUCUUAA